CCUACGGGUGGCAGCAGUGAGGAAUAUUGGUCAAUGGACGAGAGUCUGAACCAGCCAAGUAGCGUGAAGGAUGACUGCCCUAUGGGUUGUAAACUUCUUUUAUAAAGGAAUAAAACGAGGCACGUGUGCCUGUUUGCAUGUACUUUAUGAAUAAGGAUCGGCUAACUCCGUGCCAGCAGCCGCGGUAAUACGGAGGAUCCGAGCGUUAUCCGGAUUUAUUGGGUUUAAAGGGAGCGUAGAUGGGUUGUUAAGUCAGUGGUGAAAGGUUGCGGCUCAACCGUAAAAUUGCCAUUGAUACUGGCAGUCGUGAGUACAGUUGAGGUAUGCGGAAUGCGUGGUGUAGCGGUGAAAUGCUUAGAUAUGGCGAAGAACCCCGAUUGCGAAGGCAGCUUACUAACCUGUGACUGACAUUGAUGCUCGAAAGUGUGGGUAUCGAACAGGAUUAGAUACCCGGGUAGUC
rnacentral:rRNA from 1 species